GGAUGUGAGGGCGAUCUGGCUGCAACAUCUGUCACCCCACUGAUUGCCAGGGUUGAUUCGGCUGAGCUGGCUAGCUAGGCAAGUGCCCCCCUUCCUCCCUCGCUGCUCCAUGUGUGUCCCUCCCAAAGCUGUGUGCUUGGUAGAAGAGGACAAGAGGACGACUUUCCCCAAUAGAGGAGGACUUUCUUUGGUCAAGGGUAAACAAGCAGCUGCACUCCCCUGCUGGAACUUCCAAACAAAUGCUCAAGGUCCAUUUGUAGGAGAACGUAGGGUAGUCAAGCUUCCAAGACUCCAGACACAUCCAAAUGAGGUGCUGCAUGUGGCAGUCUACCUUUCUUU
rnacentral:snRNA from 1 species